rnacentral:misc_RNA from 1 species
AACGCAAAUUGCACUUCCUGGCAUUCCGGGAAGUAUGCCUGUUUGAGGGUUGUUUUAUACAAAAUCGAAGUGUUGCUUUUUCGUGACAUUUUGGAGUUGGAUUAUAUCUUAGCUUUUGUGUUAAGAGACCUGAAAUUGAUCUUUUGUCAUCUAGACGUGUAUAAUUUUUUUAUCUCGUCUUCGGAUGUCAGAUUCACUAGGUGUGAUCAUGUUGUGUGGUCUCGCACCUAUAAGAUUUUUGAUUUUAACCUCAAAUCAGGUAGGAAUACCCGCUGAACUUAA